AAUGGGCGGAAGCCUGAUCCAGCAACGCCGCGUGAGGGAAGAAGGCCUUCGGGUUGUAAACCUCUUUCAGCACAGAAAAAGAACAAGUGACGGUAUGUGCAGAAGAAGGACCGGCCAACUACGUGCCAGCAGCCGCGGUAAUACGUAGGGUCCGAGCGUUGUCCGGAAUUAUUGGGCGUAAAGGGCUCGUAGGCGGUUUGUCGCGUCGGGAGUGAAAACACCGGGCUUAACUCGGUGCUUGCUUUCGAUACGGGCAGACUAGAGGCAUUCAGGGGAGAACGGAAUUCCUGGUGUAGCGGUGAAAUGCGCAGAUAUCAGGAGGAACACCGGUGGCGAAGGCGGUUCUCUGGGAAUGUCCUGACGCUGAGGAGCGAAAGUGUGGGGAGCGAACAGGAUUAGAUACCCUGGUAGUCCACACCGUAAACGUUGGGCGCUAGGUGUGGGAUCCAUUCCACGGGUUCCGUGCCGCAGCUAACGCAUUAAGCGCCCCGCCUGG
rnacentral:rRNA from 1 species